rnacentral:rRNA from 1 species
UACAGGUGUUGCAUGGCUGUCGUCAGCUCGUGUCGUGAGAUGUUCGGUUAAGUCCGCUAACGAGCGCAACCCUCGUCGUAUGUUACAAGUGUCAUACGAGACUGCCGGUAAAAAGUCGGAGGAAGGUGAGGAUGAUGUCAAGUCAGCAUGACCUUUAUAUCUAGGGCUACACACACGCUACAAUGGUCUGUACAAUGGGUUGCCAAGCCGCGAGGCGGAGCCAAUCCUAAAAAGCAGGCCUCAGUUCAGAUUGCAGUCUGCAACCCGACUGCAUGAAGCCGGAGUUGCUAGUAACCGCAGGUCAGCAAUACUGCGGUGAAUACGUUCCCGGGUCUU